rnacentral:rRNA from 1 species
GACGAACGCUGGCGGCGUGCUUAACACAUGCAAGUCGUACGGUAAGGCCCUUUCGGGGGUACACGAGUGGCGAACGGUUGCGUAACACGUGAGUAACCUGCCCACUACUUUGGGAUAACGCUAGUAAACUGGUGCUAAUACUGGAUAUGUGCUCCUGCUGCAUGGUGGGGGUUGGAAAGCUCCGGCGGUUGUGGAUGGACUCGCGGCCUAUCAGCUUGUUGGUGGGGUAGUGGCCUACCAAGGCGGCGACGGGUAGCCGGCCUGAGAGGGUGACCGGCCACAUUGGGACUGAGAGACGGCCGAGACGCCUACGGGAGGAAGCAGUGGGGAAGAUUGAACAAUGGGCGCAAGCCGGAUGCAGCAGCGCCGCGUGCGGGAUGACGGCCUUCGGGUGGUAAAACGCUUUCAGCAGGGACGAAGCUUUUUGUGACGGUACCUGCAGAAGAAGCACCGGCUAACUACGUG